AUGUCGCCGCGGCCGCACUUCCUCGUGCUCACUUUCCCGUUCCAGGGCCACAUCGCCCCGGCGCUCCGCCUCGCCAGGCGCCUGCUGGACGCCGCGCCCGACGCGCUCGUCACCUUCUCCACCACCGAGGCCGCGCACGCCCGCAUGUUCCCGGCCACGACCGAGGCCGACGGCGCCGGGGUCCUCCCCGACGGAGACGAAGACGGCCGCCUUGAGUUCCUCCCAUUCCCCGACGGCACGGAGGCCGGGUACGUCCGGAGCGCCGACCCGGGCGCGUUCAACGCCUACAUGGCGUCCUUCCACGCCGCGGGUGCGCGGGGCGUCGCGGGGAUCGUGGACGCGCUCGCGGCGCGGGGCCGCCCGGUCACCCGCGUCGUGUACACGCUCCUGCUCCCGUGGGCGGCCGGCGUCGCGCGGGACCGCGGCGUCCCGUCCGCUCUCUACUGGAUCCAGCCGGCCGCCGUGUUCGCCAUCUACCACCACUACUUCCACGGCCACGCCGCCGGCGUCGUCGCCGAGCACCGCCGCGACCCGUCGUUCGUCGUGGAGCUCCCCGGGCUGGCGCCCCAGGCCAUCGGCGACCUUCCGUCCUUCCUGACCGAUUCCACCGACCCUUCCGAUAUCUUCCACAGCAUCUUCAACACCAUCCGCGACCUGAUCGAAACGCUUGACAAGGAAAGCCCCAGGGCCACCGUGCUCGUCAACACGUGCCAAGAGCUCGAGCCGGGCUCCCUCGCCGCCGUGGGAGCGCACGACGUGCUCCCGGUGGGACCCGUGCUCCCGUCCGGCGACGAGUCCGGCAUCUUCAAGCAGGACGGCGCCGAAUACAUGGAGUGGCUCGACGCCAAGCCGGCGAACUCCGUGGUCUACGUCUCCUUCGGGAGCCUGGCCUCGAUGGCGAGGGAGCAGCUCGACGAGCUCCUCCUCGGCCUCGAGGUGAGCGGGAGGCCGUACCUCUGCGUCAUCCGGAAGGACGUCAUGGCCGCGCUCGCGGAGGCGGAGGCGGAGGUGCGCGGGCGCCUCAGGAGCGGCGUCGCGGUGGAGUGGUGCGACCAGGUGCGGGUGCUGUCGCACGCGGCGGUGGGGUGCUUCGUGACGCACUGCGGCUGGAACUCGGUGCUGGAGAGCGUGGCGAGCGGCGUGCCCAUGGUGUGCGUGCCCCGGAUGUCGGACCAGCGCAUGAACGCGCAGCUCGUCGUGCGCGAGUGGCGCGUCGGCGUGCGCGCGCAGGUGGACAGCGGCGGCGUGCUGCGAGCGGCGGAGGUGGGGCGGUGCGUCGAUGAGGUGAUGGGGGAUUCGGAGGCUGCGGCGGAGGCGCGGCGAAUGGCGGGGAAGUGGAAGAGGAUGGUCGCAGAGGCCACGGGGAAAGGAGGGUCGUCGGAGCGUAAUCUCAUGGCUUUCGUGGACAGCGCAAGGAGCACCGUUUGAAGACUCGCGUCCUCUCCCUGAACCUUACGCGGAGAGAAAGGAAAGAAAAGUGUUGUAGAGAAUGCGUUACGAACUGAACUCAUCAAAUAGGAUAUCGUCUGCUUGGUAUCUGUUUGACACAAAUUGAAGGGGUGAAGCUGCUGAAGCCAACGGCUACCAGAGCAGCGCAACAGGAGCAGAGCAGACAAACGGCUAGCAUGCGAGAGCACCGGCUGGCGCGAAAGCAAUGGCCAGCAGAGCAACCGUUAAACAGAAAUGUGUUGUUUGUUCACAUAAACAGUAAAUCAGUAAAAGUAUUAUCUUGUGGCUGCAUCUUAAGCUUACGUGCAUUUUUA